GAUGAACGCUGGCGGCGUGCUUAACACUUGCAAGUCGAACGGAAAGGCCCAAGCUUGCUUGGGUACUCGAGUGGCGAACGGGUGAGUAACACGUGGGUGAUCUGCCCUGCACUUCGGGAUAAGCCUGGGAAACUGGGUCUAAUACCGGAUAGGACGAUGGUUUGGAUGCCAUUGUGGAAAGUUUUUUCGGUGUGGGAUGAGCUCGCGGCCUAUCAGCUUGUUGGUGGGGUAAUGGCCUACCAAGGCGUCGACGGGUAGCCGGCCUGAGAGGGUGUACGGCCACAUUGGGACUGAGAUACGGCCCAGACUCCUACGGGAGGCAGCAGUGGGGAAUAUUGCACAAUGGGCGCAAGCCUGAUGCAGCGACGCCGCGUGGGGGAUGACGGCCUUCGGGUUGUAAACUCCUUUCGCUAGGGACGAAGCGUUUUGUGACGGUACCUGGAGAAGAAGCACCGGCUAACUACGUG
rnacentral:rRNA from 1 species